UUCCGGUUGAUCCUGCCGGACCUGACUGCUAUCGGAUUGAUACUAAGCCAUGCGAGUCUUUGCAGUAAUGCAAGGCAUACGGCUCAGUAACACGUAGUCAACUUACCCUAUGGACGAGGAUAAUCUCGGGAAACUGAGCAUAAUACUCGAUAGAUCAUAAUGCCUGGAAUGGUUUAUGGUUAAAAUGAUUCGUCGCCAUAGGAUGGGACUGCGGCCUAUCAGCUUGUUGGUGAGGUAAUGGCCCACCAAGGCGAUUACAGGUACGGGCUCUGAGAGGAGAAGCCCGGAGAUGGGUACUGAGACAAGGACCCAGGCCCUAUGGGGCGCAGCAGGCGAGAAAACUUUGCAAUGUGCGAAAGCACGACAAGGUUAAUCCGAGUGAUUUCUGCUAAAGAAAUCUUUUGCAAGUCAUAAAACCACUAGUGAAUAAGGGGUGGGCAAGUUCUGGUGUCAGCCGCCGCGGUAAAACCAGCACCUCAAGUGGUCAGGAGGAUUAUUGGGCCUAAAGCAUCCGUAGCCGGCUCUGUAAGUUUUCGGUUAAAUCCAUGUGCUCAACGCAUGGGCUGCCGAAAAUACUGCAUAGCUAGGGAGUGGGAGAGGUAGACGGUACUCGGUAGGAAGGGGUAAAAUCCUUUGAUCUAUCGAUGACCACCUGUGGCGAAGGCGGUCUACCAGAACACGUUCGACGGUGAGGGAUGAAAGCUGGGGGAGCAAACCGGAUUAGAUACCCGGGUAGUCCCAGCUGUAAACGAUGCAGACUCGAUGAUGCAUUGGCAUAUAGCCAGUGCAGUGUCGCAGGGAAGCCGUUAAGUCUGCCGCCUGGGAAGUACGUACGCAAGUAUGAAACUUAAAGGAAUUGGCGGGGGAGCACCACAAGGGGUGAAGCCUGCGGUUCAAUUGGAGUCAACGCCGGG
rnacentral:rRNA from 2 species